UUUGGAGAAAGACGCGGUCAAUCGUCAACGCAAUGUGGCAGAUGUCAUCGCGAGCGGAGCUUCCAGUGUGGAGAAGUUCUACUCCGGUACCAAUGUGUUUGUCACCGGUGGCUCCGGUUUCCUCGGGAAACAGCUGCUUGAGAAAUUAUUCAGAUGCUGUAACGUGAAUAAAGUUUAUUUAUUAUUGCGUACGAAAAAGGGAAAAACUGCACAGCAGCGAGUUAAGCAAAUUCUAGAAGACCCGGUAUUUGAUAGUUUGCACAACCAAAAACCAAAGUUUGCAGACAAUGUAUUAGCAGUUUCUGGUGACGUCAGCGAAUUGAAGCUUGGACUAAGCGCGUCUGAUUGGGAUCUUAUUAC